rnacentral:rRNA from 1 species
GACGAACGCUGGCGGCGUGCCUAAUACAUGCAAGUCGAGCGAAUCAAUAGGAGCUUGCUCCUGUUGGUUAGCGGCGGACGGGUGAGUAACACGUGGGCAACCUGCCUGUAAGACUGGGAUAACACCGGGAAACCGGUGCUCAUACCGGAUAAUCCUUUUCCUCUCAUGAGGAAAAGCUGAAAGUCGGUUUCGGCCGACACUUACAGAUGGGCCCGCGGCGCAUUAGCUAGUUGGUGAGGUAACGGCUCACCAAGGCGACGAUUCGUAGCCGACCUGAGAGGGUGAUCGGCCACACUGGGACUGAGACACGGCCCAGACUCCUACGGGAGGCAGCAGUAGGGAAUCUUCCACAAUGGACGAAAGUCUGAUGGAGCAACGCCGCGUGAGCGAUGAAGGCCUUCGGGUCGUAAAGCUCUGUUGUUAGGGAAGAACAAGUACCGGAGUAACUGCCGGUGCCUUGACGGUACCUAACCAGAAAGCCACGGCUAACUACGUGCCAGCAGCCGCCGUAACAC